rnacentral:rRNA from 1 species
AAUUAACGCUGGCGGUGUGCUUAACACAUGCAAGUCGAACGAGAAAGCUUCUUCGGAAGUAAGUAAAGUGGCGAACUGGUGAGUAAUGCAUAAGAAUCUGCCUUUUAGUGAAGGAUACCAUCGGGAAACUGAUGUUAAUACUGCAUAGUCCCGACUUGUCGGGUAAAGAUGGCCUCUUGCUGUCGCUAAAAGAUGAGCUUAUGUCCUAUUAGCUUGUUGGUGGGGUAAAGGCCUACCAAGGCGAAGAUGGGUAGCCGGCCUGAGAGGGUGUACGGCCACAUUGGGACUGAGAUACGGCCCAAACUUCUACGGAAGGCAGCAGUGGGGAAUUUUGCGCAAUGGACGAAAGUCUGACGCAGCGACACCGCGUGGAGGAUGACGGUUUUAGGAUUGUAAACUCCUGUUAAGUGGGAAGAAAGUACGAAGAGUAAUAUGCUUCGGAGAUGACGGUACCACUAGAGAAAGCACCGGCAAACUUCG